rnacentral:misc_RNA from 1 species
GCAAACUUGGUCAUUUAGAGGAAGUAAAAGUCGUAACAAGGUUUCCGUAGGUGAACCUGCGGAAGGAUCAUUACAGUGCCUCCGGGCCGGGUCGUCCCCUAAAGACGGUCCCGGUUCCGGAUCUGGCCCCACCCGUGUCUACCUGACUUCUGUUGCCUUGGCGGGCCCGUCGGUUCGCCGACCGCCAAAGGGUUCCGGUUAGGCUUAGCUGCCUAACCGUCUCUCUGAAGCCUGUGUUCCGCCAACGGCUAAUUGAACUCUUUGUUAUUAAGAUGCUGUCUGAGUGAGAAAUUAAAUAGCUAAAACUUUCAACAAUGGAUCUCUUGGUUCCGGCAUCGAUGAAGAACGCAGC